rnacentral:lncRNA from 10 species
GUCAGACACCAGAGGGAGAGAGGACAUACUGGAUCUUUCUGGGUAUCAUCAAACUUCUCCAUCCAAGAAUAAGGGACAGCAGCAUCUCUUUGACAUCCAUAGCCCAUUUCUGCUUUGCCAAUAUCACUUGUGCAUCUGGGGCCACCAAUGCAUCCUAUCCUAGCAAGUAUCAAUGGGAAUAAAGAAGAAACUUAGAAAACGACAAAAUUCAAGAAGAGCUGAAGCUCUGGAGCUAGCUUUGGUGGAGAAAGAAUGAUGCGGGAUGUUGGACUAAGCGAGAAAUGCAUAAGAAGCUGGAAACCAGAAAGCAAGGAGACCCACUAACAUGGCCUACUCUGGUCGGCCUCUGGGCACAAAGGAGGGUGAAGAAAGGAUGGGAGCAGACAUGGAGGCACCAAUGGAAAGUACCAGAACACUUAAAAAAUUGAACUUUUAUGUUAUUACUCAAUGUUACUUUUAUAUUAUUAAUCAGUAUUUACUGAGCCCAACCCCUAUGAUAGUUCUACAAUGUAUUACUCUUAAAAUCUAAGCUAGACCUGAAAUCCUAUAUUCUGUUUUAAGCUAUUACCUCUCAAUAGGAAAAGAGAGGUGUUGAGUGUCACCUUAAUCCUUCCUGAGAUAAACAUUCAAAUCAAUCUCUCUACAGAUUGC